rnacentral:rRNA from 1 species
AGCAGCCGCGGUAAUUCCAGCUCCAAUAGCGUAUAUUAAAGUUGUUGCAGUUAAAAAGCUCGUAGUUGAAUUUCGGGAUUGGCGCAUCGGUCGUGCCUCACGGGGUAUGAACUGGUGCAGUCAAUUUCUCACCUUCUGGAGAACCGCGAUGUCCUUAAUUGGGUGCCGCGGGGAACCAGGACCUUUACUUUGAAAAAAUUAGAGUGUUUAAAGCAGGCAUUUUUGCUUGAAUACAUUAGCAUGGAAUAAUAAAAUAGGACGGUAUGGUUCUAUUUUGUUGGUUUCUAGGACCACCGUAAUGAUUAAUAGGGAUAGUUGGGGGCAUUAGUAUUCAAUUGUCAGAGGUGAAAUUCUUGGAUUUAUUGAAGACUAACUACUGCGAAAGCAUUUGCCAAGGAUGUUUUCAUUAAUCAAGAACGAAAGUUAGGGGAUCGAAGACGAUCAGAUACCGUCGUAGUCUUAACCAUAAACUAUGCCGACUAGGAAUCAGACGAUGUUAAUUUUUUAAUGACUCGUUUGGCACCUUACG